rnacentral:rRNA from 1 species
CUACGUGCCAGCAGCCGCGGUAAUACGUAUGUCACGAGCGUUAUCCGGAUUUAUUGGGCGUAAAGCGCGUCUAGGUGGUUAUAUAAGUCUGAUGUGAAAAUGCAGGGCUCAACUCUGUAUUGCGUUGGAAACUGUAUAACUAGAGUACUGGAGAGGUAAGCGGAACUACAAGUGUAGAGGUGAAAUUCGUAGAUAUUUGUAGGAAUGCCGAUGGGGAAGCCAGCUUACUGGACAGAUACUGACGCUGAAGCGCGAAAGCGUGGGUAGCAAACAGGAUUAGGUACCCUGGUAGUCCACGCUGUAAACGAUGAUUACUAGGUGUUGGGGGUCGAACCUCAGCGCCCAAGCAAACGCGAUAAGUAAUCCGCCUGGGGAGUACGUACGCAAGUAUGAAACUCAAAGGAAUUGACGGGGACCCGCACAAGCGGUGGAGCAUGUGGUUUAAUUCGACGCAACGCGAGGAACCUUACCAGCGUUUGACAUC